AACUUUCUCAACAGAAAUUGUUUUAUUGACUGUUUCGUUGCCUAUAUUGCCUGAAAAUUCCACACUACCGGCUAAGUUGGAAACGAGAAAUACAACAACCGUGAGUGCGAGCAAAGCGCUGACUUUCAUCCAACU
rnacentral:sRNA from 1 species